rnacentral:rRNA from 1 species
GCGGUAGAGAGGUGCUUGCACCUCUUGAGAGCGGCGGACGGGUGAGUAAUGCCUAGGAAUCUGCCUGGUAGUGGGGGAUAACGCUCGGAAACGGACGCUAAUACCGCAUACGUCCUACGGGAGAAAGCAGGGGACCUUCGGGCCUUGCGCUAUCAGAUGAGCCUAGGUCGGAUUAGCUAGUUGGUGGGGUAAUGGCUCACCAAGGCGACGAUCCGUAACUGGUCUGAGAGGAUGAUCAGUCACACUGGAACUGAGACACGGUCCAGACUCCUACGGGAGGCAGCAGUGGGGAAUAUUGGACAAUGGGCGAAAGCCUGAUCCAGCCAUGCCGCGUGUGUGAAGAAGGUCUUCGGAUUGUAAAGCACUUUAAGUUGGGAGGAAGGGCAGUUACUUAAUACGUGACUGUCUUGACGUUACCGACAGAAUAAGCACCGGCUAACUCUGUGCCAGCAGCCGCGGUAAUACAGAGGGUGCAAGCGUUAAUCGGAAUUACUGGGCGUAAAGCGCGCGUAGGUGGUUCGUUAAGUUGGAUGUG